UUAAUGUNAAUCNGCNAAAGGCUCAUUAAAUCACUUAUGGUUCCUUAUAUCGUACCCACACUUACUUGGAUAACUGUGGUAAUUCUANAGCUAAUACAUGCNAACAGAACUCCGACCAGAGAUGGAAGGAGUGCUUUUAUUACAUCAAAACCAAUCGGUGGCGGGCUUGCUCUUCAUCGUACAACUUGGUGACUCUGAAUAACUUUACGCUGAUCGCACGGUCUUAGCACCGGCGACGCAUCUUUCAAAUGUCUGCCUUAUCAACUGUCGAUGGUAGGUUCUGCGCCUACCAUGGUUGUAACGGGUAACGGGGAAUCAGGGUUCGAUUCCGGAGAGGGAGCCUGAGAAACGGCUACCACAUCCAAGGAAGGCAGCAGGCGCGCAAAUUACCCACUCCCGGCACGGGGAGGUAGUGACGAAAAAUAACGAUACGGGACUCAUCCGAGGCCCCGUAAUCGGAAUGAGUACAAUCUAAACCCUUUAACGAGGAUCAAUUGGAGGGCAAGUCUGGUGCCAGCAGCCGCGGUAAUUCCAGCUCCAAUAGCGUAUAUUAAAGUUGUUGCGGUUAAAAAGCUCGUAGUCGAAUUUGUGUCUCUUGCCGCCGGUUUAUCGUUCGCGGUAUUACUGGCGAGUCACGAGACGUCCUGCCGGUGGGCUUAGCUCGCAAGGGCGGCCCAACUCAAUCCUGCCGCGGUGCUCUUCAUUGAGUGUCGAGGUGGGCCGGCACGUUUACUUUGAACAAAUUAGAGUGCUUAAAGCAGGCUAAAACUUCGCCUGAAUACUGUGUGCAUGGAAUAAUGGAAUAGGACCUCGGUUGUAUUUUGUUGGUUUUNGGAACCCCGAGGUAANGAUUAAUAGGCACNGANGGGGGNAUUNNNAUNGCGACGNNAGGAGUANNNNNNNNNNNNGGUGNNCNCNNNNNNNNNNNNNNNNNNNNNNNNCAAAAANGCUUUCAUUGAUCAAGAACGAAAGUUAGAGGUUCGAGGCGAUCAGAUACCGCCCUAGUUCUAACCUUAAACGAUGCCAGCUAGCGAUCCGUCGACGUUCCUCCGAUGACUCGACGGGCAGCUUCCGGGAAACCAAAGCUUUUGGGUUCCGGGGGAAGUAUGGUUGCAAAGUGAAACUUAAAGGAAUUGACGGAAGGGCACCACCAGGAGUGGAGCCUGCGGCUUAAUUUGACUCAACACGGGAAAUCUCACCAGGCCCGGACACCGGAAGGAUUGACAGAUUGAGAGCUCUUUCUUGAUUCGGUGGGUGGUGGUGCAUGGUCGUUCUUAGUUGGUGGAGCGAUUUGUCUGGUUAAUUCCGAUAACGAACGAGACUCUAGCCUGCUAAAUAGGCGUAUUUUGACAUCCUAAAGGCCCGCCGGCUUGGGGUUCGCUCCUUGUCGUGCGCGGUUUUUACUGUCGGCGUACAAACAAUUCUUCUUAGAGGGACAGGUGGCUUCUAGUCGCACGAGAUUGAGCAAUAACAGAUCUGUAAUGCCCUUAGAUGUUCUGGGCCGCACGCGCGCUACACUGAAGGAAUCAGCGUGUCCUCCCUGGCCGAGUGGCCCGGGUAACCCGCUGAACCUCCUUCGUGCUAGGGAUUGGGGCUUGCAAUUGUUCCCCAGAACGAGGAAUUCCCAGUAAGCGCGAGUCAUAAGCUCNCGUUGAUUACNUCCCUGCCCUUUGUACACACCGCCC
rnacentral:rRNA from 1 species